rnacentral:misc_RNA from 1 species
GAUGAAGAACGUAGUGAAAUGCGAUAAUUAAUGUGAAUUGCAGAAUUCAGUGAAUCAUCGAGUCUUUGAACGCACAUUGCGCCCCCUGGUAUUCCGGGGGGCAUGCCUGUCCGAGCGUCAUUGCUGCCCUCAAGCACGGCUUGUGUGUUGGGCUUCCGUCCCUGGCAACGGGGACGGGCCCAAAAGGCAGUGGCGGCACCAUGUCUGGUCCUCGAGCGUAUGGGGCUUUGUCACCCGCUCCCGUAGGUCCAGCUGGCAGCUAGCCUCGCAACCAAGCUUUUUAACCAGGUUGACCUCGGAUCAGGUAGGGAUACCCGCUGAACUUAAGCAUAUCAAUAAGCGGAGGA